rnacentral:lncRNA from 1 species
UCAGAAAGAGAUCAAGAGCUUCUAGGAGAACCCCAACAACCCUACUCAAUGCUAAUACCAAUAACUUUAGGGAAUUAGUUCAGAAAUUUACAGGCUGUGGUAGCACUCACAUGUCUCUAUCAAUCCAUAAGGGACCUAUUACCUUGAAUUUCCAACAAGGAAGCAAUAAUAAUGAUAAUAAUCACAAGAUGAUUCUUCAUCAUUAUCAUCAGCAGCAGCAGCAGCAGCAGAAUAGUACAACAACAAGUGGAACAGUUUCACCAUUUGGCACCAGAACUAGUAAUUAUUAUUUCCAUAAUCAACAAGCUCAUAAUCAUGAUGUAGCUGCAGUGAUGCCAUCAUCACAAGAACAGCAAAGUGGUGGUGGUGGCUUAAUCUCUACCUCCUUGGACUCUAAUCUUCCUUCUUAUGAUGUUGAUUACUUAUCAUCAUCAAGGCCUACCAGCAUGGAUGCCUCUGAAGACUUUGGUUUGCAUCAACUAACUGUGAAUGAUUUCUCCAACAAUGGAAUUAAGGGGAGUGGUUUCUUCAUGUGAUGAUUGGUUUUGAUUCAUUUAUGAAGAAAAAAAAAAAAAACACAUAUAUAUAUAUGUCUUAGUUAUUUAUUAGCAAGAGAAGUAUGCACUUCUCUUUAGUCAACUGUUGUAUGCAUAUGCUACAUAUACAUAAAACAAGAAUAAUUCCUGUUUCUUUUAUUAUUAUCAGUUCAAUUCAAUUUGUUUUGUUGUGCUGCUUUUCUAAUGGAGUUCAAUUUGUUCUCCUUCAAUACAACAAUUUCUUAUUCUGUUGUUUGUACAGUAUGUAGUUUAUAUAUAUGAAUAUUGUUUCUUUAUUUGUAAUCUCCAUUGAUAUAAAAAAAAAAGAGCUUCCAUUAUCCAGCAAUUGAAUUGAUAUUAUAUUUUAUUGAUAUGAUAACUAAAAUUGUGAAGAUAAGAUCAUACUCUUUGUCUACAAGCAAAUAGCAUAAUUUAAAGUUGAGUAACUUUAUAUUAUAUUGCUCCAGAUGAAUUAUUGGUUGAAUAUUGUAUGAGUAUAAUUGUUGAUUUAAGGUAGAUUUAUUGUGGUGACUGUUAUGAUAAUGAGGAAGGGUAUGUUGAAUUGAAAAGAAAGCAGAUUUGGACCCGAAAAGGGUGGCAAAGUCCGAGUUUUAGAGGAGAUGCUGCCGAAAUUUUAUAAAAAUUAGAGAUUUUGGUUUAUAUGAUUAUUUAAAAAGAUUUAGAUUCAAAGGUUAUAUGGUUUGAUUUAGAGUUAUUAAGAAAAGGUUUAAUUACUCUGCAGGUCCCUAUAGUUUUAUCGAAUUUUCAAUUAGGUCCCUAUACUUUUUUUCUUUUCAAUUGGAUCCCUAUAUAUUAUUUUUUUUUUAAAUUAACCUUCCAUUCAAACCAUUUGUUAUUACUUAUAAUUAUAUUAUUCUGCCAUGAAUAUAAUAUAUAAAAAUGUUGUUAAAAGUACAUAAUAUUUGACUUUAAAUAUUCACCCUUAUUUGCAAAAGGGGUACAUGUGAGUCGUUAUACACGUGCAGCUGUGCAUGUUGGCUUGAAAGAAUUAAUAAUAAUAAUAUUUAUUAUUCUAUUCUAAUUAUAAUAAUAAUAAUAAAGUGCAUGCAUGCAUUCGCAGCUUCUCAACAAAAGAGUCACCCUUCACAUUAUCGUUAGGCCAAGUGAAUGUAAAUGCUAUUUGGCUCUUGGAAAGGUCACCUUACUAUAUAUGUGUGUAAUUCCAGUUUCCACACGCACCCAUCACCCAUGCUAGCUAGCUUCCUUCAUCAUGCCUCUCUUUCACUUCAUACAUUAUUUUUCGUCGUAUUCUUAAGUGUGACCCCCCACAAGAGCCAGGCCACCAUCCACUGGCUCCAAUUUAAUACAUAGUCAUAGUACUGCUACUAUUUGUUUAUUUUUAUAUUUUUUCUUUCAGAAGAAGGAAGGAUUCAGCGAUACCAAUCAUCUUGCUUGGCUAUUCGUGUCCGCAAUUAUUAAUUCAAAUUAAUAUUUGAUUAAACUAUAUGUAUACAUGAACUUUCUUUUUCUUUUUCUUUCCAGCAUGAAAACGAUACUUUUGUUUGGCGCUUCUUGGACAAGUAUAUUUUAUUGGUAGAAUAUUUUAGGUGAAACUCAAGUGCAGUCGACUUCACGUGAAGUUGAUAAUUGAGAACUGUUAGAUAAUUUGACCAAUUUGACUAAAUUUUUAUCUAAUAACUUUUAGUUAUCAACUUAACGUAAAGUCGACUGCACCUGAAUUUCCACCACCAAUUAUAUGCGUAGGUGGAAUUCAAUCAUAAUUCAACUUAUUUUAAAUUGAUGAUUAGAUAAAAUUACAUUUUAUUUGAAUUUAAUUUUGGUGACCUUUCCAGUUUAAAUUUAUUUUUAAAUAAUAAAUUUAAAAAAUAAUUAUUUUUAAUAAUAUAAUAAUACAUAAUUAGAUACACAAUUAACUUAUAUUUUGAUAUAUAAAACCCCCCUGAUUAGCGUCACUGAUAUGAACACAUGUUACUUCCUGGAAGCUACCCUCUCCACUUUUUGGAUUUUAGUUUCAUUCUCAAUUCAUAGAAUAGUCAAAGCCUGAGACAAUCUUAACCUUUGACCAAACACAAGCUACUAUAAAUCCAUACACUACCAAACCCACCAUCCUUUCUUUCAACCAACAACCACUACUCUUCUCUCUUAGCUUCUUAAUCAACUCAUAGUUAGAGUAACUAUAUAUAUAUAUAUAUAUUCAUGAGUGGUGCCAUGGCUGCUACUACUACUGAUCAUCAUAAGUGGAUGAUGCAGUUGUAUGAGCAGCCUCAGAUGGAUUGUGAUGGAAGCAACAUGGCUCCUCCUAUCAUGGAAGCAUUUUCUGAUGCAACUGUGGUGACAACUAUGUCACCAGAGAGCAGCAGCAUGAUGAUGUUGAGCCAAAUAAGCAAUAGUAGUAGUAGUACUAGUAUUAGUAAUGUUCAGUUGUUAAGUCCAAAGAGAAAUAAUAAUAAUAAUAGUGCAUUCAAACCAAUCAGAAAGAGAUCAAGAGCUUCUAGGAGAACCCCAACAACCCUACUCAAUGCUAAUACCAAUAACUUUAGGGAAUUAGUUCAGAAAUUUACAGGCUGUGGUAGCACUCACAUGUCUCUAUCAAUCCAUAAGGGACCUAUUACCUUGAAUUUCCAACAAGGAAGCAAUAAUAAUGAUAAUAAUCACAAGAUGAUUCUUCAUCAUUAUCAUCAGCAGCAGCAGCAGCAGCAGAAUAGUACAACAACAAGUGGAACAGUUUCACCAUUUGGCACCAGAACUAGUAAUUAUUAUUUCCAUAAUCAACAAGC